rnacentral:lncRNA from 1 species
AAAAUACGUAAUAUAUUGGGCAAAAGAUCUUAAAUGAACAAGCUUUCAUACUUAUUAUUGAAGAGAGGUUAGAUUUCUAUUCGUGCUUUCCUUGAAUAUUAUUUGUGGUACUUCUUGAAUUAACUUAAGAAAGAUUCCAUCUACACUUGAGUUGAAAACUAUCCUUGGAAUCACAUUAGAUGUGCUCUCAUCAUAAUUUGCUCUGAAAUUAUCCAAAAUGGCUCUGAUCUAUGCUCAUUUAUCUUUUUCUAACAUUA